GUUGUACUCCCUCCGUCCGGAAAUACUUAUCCUAGAAAUGGCUGUAUCUAGACUUAUUUUAGUUAUAGAUACAUCCAUUUUCAACCAUCUCUAAGACAAGUAUUUCCGGAUGGAGGGAGUAUGAC
rfam:Triticum urartu cultivar G1812 contig1025755, whole genome shotgun sequence.